GGGGCUCGGCGGUUAGGGGUGGGGCUCGGCGGUCGGAGGGUUAGGCGGCGGUCAUGCGGGGAUCCCCUCGGGCUCCAGGGGGCCGUCGUGACCCCAAAUACCAGAGCCCGAGAAGGCGGUUCGGCGAAAAGAAGCUCCUGUGUAGGUGCUGAGUGUUGUCGUUUGUGCGAGCUCCUGUAAAGCUUUCUGCCGGGUCUGCGCUAUUGCUGGUUAAUGGGAAGCUUCACUCUGCUUUUGACUGCUGAGAAACAAAAUGUGCUUCCAGGAAAGAUUGGUCCUGUGCAUGGCUGUACUUGGAGAAUAUACUUUGAGAAUGUUUUUCUCUUUUUCGCUCAUAUAGCAUCUAGUGUGGGUCUGGGAUCAGGGAUUCAAGAUGGUAUUAAAACAUAUGGCCCCAAUUUCACAUGGUUUCCCAUCAGAUGGCUCAGCUGACUUAAACUUCAAAUACUAAUUAAACCCUAACAACAGAAGUCAUGGUUAGAGCCUGUGCUGUCUUGGCACAGCCAGUACAUAUGACAAGGCCUUUAGCAAUGUAGAAGGGAUUAUCAUCUAAGUACUGCAUUCUGUGUGAGCAGCUCUAAAAUAAAUAAAAGAAAAAUAAAGCAGAAACAGCUUGUAUUUAAACACUCAGUACUUUAAAAACUCAUCUCAGACUCAACAAAUUAGCUGCACUCGUGCUACAGAGAGAUGCCAUGUGUUUCCUUGCCUUUUUUUUGUCUGUAUACAUCUUUUGAUUUGUGCUUCAGUCUUAGACUAUAUGGGUUUUGGAGUAGUACUGUCAUUUUGAUCCCUAGCUGUAGAGCCAAAGUAUAAUAAGAGGCCUCCAUUAUAAUUCGUAGCUGCUACUUCAAUAUUGGUAAAAUAGCAAUCAAAAGAAAUAUAAAAAUAAAAACUGAAGUCAGAGAUUACUGGGAUACAAGGGAAAGAAUUCUGAUUUUUAACUUUCUGAUUUUUAAAAUGUAAUGAAUUUACUAUUUUCUUUUUGAAAUUCUUAUGACAAAAAUGUAUAAAAUGCCUCUGUGAUACCAGGAAUCUUUUAUUUUUUGAUGUUCUAUGUAUCUAGAGUUGUGACUUAAACUAAUAGUGCUGAGAAUAUCUGGAAAAUAAUAACAGCAUUAAAACUUUAAAGAUGCAUGCAAAUGUUAUUCUUGCUAUUUCUGCUUCCAAAACAUUUUAGAAGUCCUUUUAGAAAAAUACCUAUAAAAUAUUCUCAUAUGACUGUUUGGACAGCUGCUUCAUUUCUUUGGUGAUUAAGCUUAUGUUAAAACUUUUAAAGCUAAUAAAUAAAAUAUGAGAAGUAAAAACACCCAUGAUUUCUAAACUAAAAUUCUGUUAAUUUUCAUAGCAAUGCAAUGGGCUGAUGUUAGAAUAGUUCAUAAUCCUCUGAUCUGUUAUGAUAUUCAAAUGAUUCUUUGUUUUUAGAAAAACAUCAGUUGUGUUAAUUUUUGGAAAUACGUUUGAAAUGGCUUCAUUGAAAGAAUCACCAGAGUGUGUCUUAAAUGUGUUCACCCUCUCCCUUUAGCUUGUACAAGGGCUAAUAAUAAUGUAACAAUAAUGUAAGUGAAAGUUCUGGUUGUUUUGAAAUUCCAGAAUGAACUCCGUUAUACUUUUCUUUUAAAUGUAAACAAAUUUCAGUGAACUAAAAGUCUAAUUCAGUCAAAUUUUCUGGAUUUGUUCUUAGAAAUAAUUCCCAAGGAAGAAUGUGUGUGCUACAUGUCUGACUUUUCAUUUUGUUUUGACAGUUCUGUUGCCCAUAAUUGUAACAGAUAUACAAUUGCUAUUGUUGAGAAGAAUAACCCUGUAAAAAUAGUAGCAUAGGGUUAACUUUACUUAUUGUCUCUCACUAACUUCUAGAUCAAGUAUUCAAGUUUUUUUGUUGUAUAAUCCCCCAAGUUCUAAAUGGCAAACACCUCUUUUUCAGUAGCAAAAAAUUGUUAAAGGAAAAAAGUUUUUGCCAAGAUACAAUACCAAUAUCAAUAGCCACAGAAUUCCUUUGUUAGAAAAGGAAUGCAUUUGAUACAGUUGGAAAUCCUUGUUUUGAGCCGUGCUCUGUGAAAUGUAUCAACAAAGCCAGGAAAUUUUAUUUCAUGAUUUUAUACAUCUAACACUGUAUUCACAUCAAGAGAAUAUAUUUAUUAAUUUUCCAAAUUAUAUUAUACACAUUUCUCUACAGAUAUGCAAACAAUAUAUAAAAUUAACAUUCUAUAAAAUUAUAAACCUUUGAGUUUAUAAAGAACAACGGAGUCUAAAAGGCUGUAGUUGCAAACAUUCACAUUUUAUUAAUCCAACCAAAGAUUUAUAUUAUUAUUAAAAUUUCUUGUCAAAACAGAUUGUCAGUUGGUUGCUCAUUGUGCAGUCUUCACGAUGCUUAACCUAUUAUGUCAUCUGCAAAAGAUACUCCCUACAUUGUGUUGCAUUUCACAUGCCAUACAUUAUAUUAGUUUUCAACUAUAAAACCAGCAUUUUGUUGUUCCAUAUGUGCUGGGCAGAUCUUCUGCUCAUGUAAACUGUUAAAGCUCCAGCAAGGCUGAACACCUGUCUUUCUUACUAUGCCUCCUUAUUAUAAACAGGGAUCUGUUUUAUGGAGCAAGAACUAAUAUAUAUACUGAUAUGUAUGUUUGCUUUUACAAACAAGUAAACAGGAGAAAAUACGAAUCAGCUUUCUUUAAAAUCAUCAUGAAAAAAGUCUUUUCAAAGCAACAUAAUCAAUUUUGCUGUGCACAGCUUAGGUAAUUUUCCUGCAAAUGUCUCCUCAAAAGUGCAUUUGAAGGGAUAAUACUAAAAUUUUCAAGGUACUUCAAAUGACCAAAAUUUCCUUUUCUGUAGGAGAAAAUUCUGAACCUGGCAGACCAUGUUUAUUUUGUUGCUGACCAGUUCACAAGAAACUCACAGGUAUGACUACUGAAUUUUCGCUGGCCAGUGUGCACAUAUGAUGACUUCCAGGCCGACAUUCAGGUCUCAUAAAAUUUUUGUGGUUAUUACUCAGAGGGGAAGAGACAAGUGUUUUCAACCCAUAAGGACUUCAGUUUUAUUUUGGAAACAUCAGGGUUAAACGCUACAAAAGCUGAAGACUGAUUCCUUUAUAGGCACGAAUUUCCUACACAAGAUGAAAAUGCAGUACCUUUUUCUAUUAAAUACAAGGGUAUCAAGAUAUGAAUCUCAAAAUUGGCAGGAUUUUUAUCCUUAUCAGACUUGUUGCUAUGUAUACAGGAUCAGCCAUUGUACAGUAAGAGUUAAUAUCGCAUGUUAAAUGGCUGGCCCUCAUGCUGAUAAAACUGUUUAAAAUCACCAAUUGACCAAAUUAUUCAGAUUUUUUGGAGGUGUUCAUAAAGAUGAUAGCCUUCCUUUUAUUACAGCUAUCAUAGCCUUAUAUCAAAAGAGAUGAUAACCUUCCAUACUUUGUAAUUUCUAUUUUUGGUGCAUCUAUUGGCUUCAUGUAGAACUGUAGAAGUAAAAUGUAUUGUAGACACCUCUGAAUUCCAAUGAUUUCGGGAAGAUCAAAUGUUUUCAAGGGGCAGUCGGUACCUUGAAGGACUGCAGCCAAUAUAUAGUUAUAUACUGUAGUAUAUAGCAAGUCAGUCCUAACGAUUGAACUUUGUAUAUAAUGUCUGACUAACCUUUGUUUAUCAUCAAGAUGUGUAAUUGCAGUUCAAAAUUCAUUGGAAUUGGUUUCAUUUUAGAUGAACAGAAAAGCUGGUCACAAUUACAUAUCCUGUCCUCACAUAUCCCCAGUUUUAUUAUAUUCAUAUUUCAUCUGUUGCAACUGCAGAUGCUUCAUAUAUUGGAAGAGGUACUUUCCAUGAAAUAUUUCAUUGUAUAGGGUUCAGAUUGGCAGUUAUAAGAAAUGAGCCAACUUGUCUUCAUUUGGCUUUUGAAAUGCUGUAUUCAGGCACAGAGCGUGCUGUACCCCAUGUUUGCAUGAAACAAAGUCUCUAGUACACUUUAGUAAAACAGUUUCAUCUGUUUAAAGAUAUGCUUAUUUUUGUCCUCGUGUGUAAUUCAGUAUUUUUUACGUUUCACCAGAAAGUCACUUAUCCAUUGAAAAUAAGAUGACAAAUACUGGUACAAGUCAGGAAGCCUAUUUAUUUACUAUAAAGCUCCCUGUUUUAAGGCUACCUUUGAGAUCAGGCUUCUUCAACUUGGUUUCUAAGGAAACCUAAAGUCAACUCAUAGAUAACCAUACCACACAAAAUAGGGGAAAAAAAAAAAAAGUGAGUAUCUCUUCAUAGUGGGCUUAUAUGGAGAGCAAGUUUCAAAAUAAUAUUUUAUUAUACCUCAAAUUAAAAAUACAUAAGGUCAUUUUGCCUGCAUUCUGCCAUACAAAAAUCGAACAUUAGCUAUUUAAAAUGACUUAAAACUCCACAGACCUUUACACAAUUAUUUUCAGUAGGUAACCUUUUUAUACUGGGUAAGGGAUUCUGUAGCUGGCAAACACUUUAUAAAGCAUCAGACAUUUUGUUCUUAUACCGGAUAUAAUCUGGAUCUGUUCAUCUUUGAAAAUUUCCUGUCCUUAAUUACUUAUACAAAAUGAUUCACGAUGUAAAUUGGUAUUCACAAGUUAUGCACAUUAAUUUGUAUUUUUCCUUUUGUACUGACAGCUAAAAAUUAGCUUUAUAAGUAGUGCUAAAAUGCGUAUUAUUUUGUCUUGAAACCAAGAUUGCAACAUACUUUAUGUACACAUUCCUUAUGCAUUUCAAACUACAGUCAUCAUGAUGAUGGUUUGGGAGUUUUGUGGGGGGGAAGGAUGCAUCUCGGAGUAUUGGUUUGGUUAAAUACAAUACAUUGACAAAAGACAAAGUAAGUUUUAAGGGUUGUAUGGAAACCGAUAUUUUUCCCAAGCAUUUAAUACCUGGAAAACAGCAUAUGAAAACCUGGCAGGCUAAGUUCUUAUGUGUUUUUUUGUCCAUUUUUAAUGGAAAAAAAUAGGGGAGGGAUACACAAAGUAGGUAUUUCCUUGUUGAAAACUGGGUAUUUUUUGAUACCGUCAGAAUAAACUCUUCAUUAAAAGAUGAAAAUGUUAUUUUCUUCAACAGCUGUGCUUGGAUUAAAGGCUGAAAUUUCGAUUUUGUCAGGGAGGAAUUUUUUGUGAGGAGAAAAAUACAUUUCAACUGACUGUAAUAUAUAAUAUAAGAAGGAUAUAUAUAUAUAGCUACACAUGCAGGAAUACAGAGCCAGCAACUCAGCUGGCAUAAAUCAUCUAAGUGUCUCUGAAGUCAAUACUUGUCUAACUAACAUCAGCUGUGAAUCUGACCUAAGAAAUUUUUGCUUAACUGAUAUUCCCUGUUCUGUGGAAUGCAAGAGCAGGUUUCUGACCUACAUAAUUCUGAUAUAAAAGGCGUACAUAUAGCAGUCUAGGGCAGUAUGGAGCUGACCUUCUGAGCAUCAGUACAUGCCAGUGACAAGAAAGAGAGGUAUGUCUGUAACAUUACUUAAAACUGUUCUUUAAAAACUACAGAAGGAAAAGUCAAGCUUGUCAGUGGGAAGGCUAUUGAAAUUAUUUUCAGGUCUUCAGAAACCAUUUGCAAUGUUACUUGUUUUCUUUAAGACUGCUUAAGACUAAGACUCCUUAAAAUGCUAAUGAAUUUUUCAUGUCUUGAGUGCUCUUUCAUGGUAGAGCCUUCAAUGUGCUGGUUACUCACCAGUCCGAUACUUUAAUCUGAGUGAGCAAUUCAAGAGAUGUUCUCUAGGUGAUAGUCAUUUUAUUUCUAAAGCUGUUAACAAAUAUGUAUAUAAAAGAUGCUUCUGCAGUACAGUAAUAGUAAAUACUUUGCACUAUUUUCAGGCAAGCACACCAAAUUCAACUAUGCUGAUGACUGUGAAUUUCCAUAUUAAUAGGAAAGCUCCCUGAUGAUGUUUAUUGGUACCUAAAUUUGUAAAGCUGUACCUAAAUGUGUUUUAACUGCACAGUUCUGCAUGACAGCCUUUCAGAAUUAUACUGAACAAUGCUACUAAAGCAGUACUACACAAGAAAUGUAGUGUACGAUAUUUCAGAACCUAACUUGAUUCAUUUUAAUUUUCUAGUCACAUUGGAGAAUAUACUGUUUUGCCCAGUGCACCUCCCACUUUAUAUUUUGCUUUCUUCAAUAUCCUUUGGGCUUUUUACAGUUGUUUUUAAAACUUCCAUUAAGUUAAAGUGUAUCCUGAAAUAAGAAUCACAGAAGUUAAAGAUGAUGAAGAAUAUAUCUGAGAGGGAGCAGCUGUUCUUGUUUUCUAGUGCUUUCUCCAGACUUCUAGUGCUUUCUCCAGACUUCUAGUGCUUUCUCCAGACUUUUAAGUGAUGGAAUUGUAUAAUUUCUCUUAGAGAACUUUCACUGUGCUAUGAUAUAUGUGGUUAAUUAAAUGGAAAAAAAUCUAUGCUUAUUGAUCUAUAUCUUCAGGUGGAUGGAGUUCAACUGAAAAUGUAAGUAAAAUUUGGAUAGCUGCACCACUAAGCUACCAAAAAUAUAUUUAUCAAUGCCUAAAUUUUUAUGCUGAUCUUUGUAAAGUACAAUGCUUACUUCUAAUAAAGAGCUUGUUCCAGAGCUUGCGACCAAGAAAGUGCAUGCUACAACAUUCAGAGAUGCACAUACUCAUCUUGGGUUUUCCACUGGAAAUUCAGAGUGAUGCCACUGACUUCACUGGUUUUACUGAAGAUUUGUGUGCUUCAUCAAGGAUCAGAAUCAGGCCCUAAGAUUUUUUGCCCUACAGACCUACGUUCUUCCACUUUUUAAAGUGGCAGAACCAGAUCUAUUCUGUUGUGAGGCUCAAAAGUAGCAGCAAUUCUUCUUCAAUAUGCGAUUUGCCUAUCUGUGUGAAAAGUGGAGAUACUUGGGUCAAGUAGGCCUCAAUGCCUCUAAGACUCAUUUAGAUUUUAAAAUCUUUGAAAAAUUUCUGCUACACAUUGCUCAGCAUGAUAUGAGAUAUAUUUAUGGGAAUGGUGAAUCUCAGUAUUAAGCCCAUUUUUUGUUCUUUUUUUGUGUGGAAAGGCAAACUGAAGACCACACUGGCCUGGCUGAGGACUUCUGAGUCCUCUUUUGUUAUUUAAUUCUCUCAAAUUUCAGGCAUCACUCCCUCUCCCUAGAAGGUGUCCAAGCCAGAUGGCCAUCCUUCCUGUCUGAAUGGUGAUGAGCUUUCUUCAGCUGGUGAGAAUGUUCCAUAGGACUAUCCAGUCAAGGACACAUGAAGGGACUUUCCACCGUUCUCUUCUAAGACAAAGCUUAGCAAGUAACUACAACAGAAUGCAAAUUUGGUCAAUUUAAGAAUUCAGCAGAAAGGCUUCUACUGUACCUAGCAGAUCGGAAUUUGAGCUCAUGAUAACAUUGCACAAAGCUGUGAUAAAUGAAAGUAAUUGGCAAGGCUAAUAGAACAAUGCCACUAACCACACAAAUUCCGCCAAGAAUCCUUCCAGGUACAGUGAUGGGACACAUGUCACCAUAACCAACCGUGGUCAUAGAGAUGAUCACCCACCAACAAGCAGCAGGGAUGCUGGCAUAAUCCUUAUUCUUUGUUCCCAAGUCCAGCCCAUUUUCAAGAAGCUGGGAAAGUGCACUGAAAAUUGCCAUAGCAACACAGAUAAAGACAAGUAGCAUCACCAUCUCUCUGUAACAACGCUUCAGAGUCAGACCAAGUGUUUGAAGGCCAAUGAAAUGACGAGCCAGUUUAAUCACCCAAAAAAUCCUCAUCAUUCUUAAGACCCUCAAGGUGACUCCAGCCCUCUGAAGCUGCGAAUUUUCCCCGGUAAAAACUGUCAUUAGAACAGAGAUGUAGUAGGGAGUAAUUGCCAGUAAAUCAAUGAUGUUGAGAGGUCUUCUGACAAACUCACACUUGUUUUUGGAGACGAUGAACCUCACAAUGCACUCUGCAGUGAACCAGCCUAUGCAGAUAGCUUCAAUUAUCCUGUCAAAAGAAACAAAGUACAGUAUUUAUGUUCUGUGAAAAUGCUUUAGUGGAUGUUCGGUUUGUUCAUGGACAUUACCAAAUUGACAUUCAGACCUUCACAGACAACAUACAGAAAGCCACACUAUUCAUAUUCUGAGCAUGUAGCACCAAGUUUCAGCAAUUAACCUGCAGAUCUACUGAGAAUUUUAAACUGAUGUCUGCUAAGAACUCACUUAUGGUCAUUUUCUUAGAAUUAUAAAAUUGCUACUAAUUCUAAUACUGUGCAGAUGUUCCUAAGAAAUCUCGAAUGCUACAGAAAAUUAACAUGUCAAUGUCUAACAUAAUCUAGAACACUUUUUUUCUCUCUCUUUUUUUCUUUUUUGGCUGGAGGCCUGAUCCACUUUAUGAAACCCAAGGAGUGCAGAUCAGUGAACUGCUUGAUUACUAACAGCAGUGUACUGAACAAAACUGCUAAACUAAAAUAAAAGUGAAGAUGGAGUAGGUGGAAAUCGGCUUUUGCAUCAGACCACCCAUGCAGAUUGGGUCUUCACAAUCUAACAUAAAUCAGUCCAUCUUAUUUGCAUCCCAAACAGGGGCUUACCUAGAGCCUAUAUUCAGAACUUCGUAGGUAUAGCCAAUAAAUACAGCCAGUAUUUUAUUCUUCAGCAGUGGGUACACACUACACUCUGCAUUAGUUGAAAUUCUUCUUUUUUUUUUAAAUGCAAUUCCACCUAAACUGUGUUGUAGCAAAAAUGUCAAGGUAACCAAAGCAGUAGGCAAGAUUGUCUUCUUGCCAAGUACAACUAAUGGCCUUGAUUAAAGAAAGCAUUGCUGUCUAAGAAGGUAAAUUCAGUACAUUCUUGCAGUGAAUGAGAUUUGAGAACAUUUUCUCGCUUGAAUGAAUGAAAGGUAGAAACAGAAGAUAAAAAUGCUGCUCUAGAAUUAUUCAAUAACUGUUGUGUACCAAGUAUCUCAUCCUGAAUCUGAAAAUAACUUUUCUUAAGAAUUCAAAUUGUUCUCACUUGUGUAAUAAAGGAGGGAAUGAGAGCUAGUAUUUCCCUUCUUCCUUUGUUUGCUUAUUUCGUUUCACAAACAUUCUCAGCAAAGUAAAAGCCAAUCACCAGUGUCAUCUCCUACCAACAGGUCUGCAACUGAUGCGAGAUUCAAGAUUUGAAAAUACUAAAUGAAACCAGAGUUUAUUCCUACUGCAGGAGACCCUAACAAUGUAGUGUCUGUAGUAACAAUAAUUAAUUCAUAAGUAAUCAUCCAAGUGUCAUUUAAAAACUAAAAGGUUUUUUCCCUAACAAAUCUGCAUACAUUUUUACCAGUUUUGAAAUCUGCUGGUAUUACUGAGGCAAUGGUCUGUUAGGAAGACAAUAUUCCUCUGUAACACUGUAACUAAUACUAAUAAACUUCAUAAACAAACUUU